CAGUCGCCACGGUAAUACGGAGGGGGCUAGCGUUGUUCGGAAUUACUGAGCGUAAAGCGCACGUAGGCGGCUUGGUAAGUUAGAGGUGAAAGCCUGGAGCUCAACUCCAGAAUUGCCUUUAAGACUGCCGAGCUAGCAGGUGAGAGAGGUAAGUGGAAUUCCGAGUGCAGAGGUGAAAUUCGUAGAUAUUCGGAAGAACACCAGUGGCGAAGGCGGCUUACUGGCUCAUACUGGACGCUGAGGUGCGAAAGCGUGGGGAGCAAACAGGAUUAGAUACCCCGGUAGUCCCUGUCUCUUAUAC
rnacentral:rRNA from 1 species